AUUACUCAACUGAGUACGCGUUGCGUUGUGUGAGCAUGAAAUUAUUAUUAUAUUCUCAAUUAAGCUUAUUCGCAUAAAGCAUGCGCUAUUUAAGUUAACUAAAGCGAAGCUACUUGUACUCUGUCUGUCUGCUGAUUGACCCGCUAAGUAAACAUUCGUUGGCGGCGGCCGCUGUAUUUCGCCCUCACGUGUUCACUUCGACGACGACAACAAGACUGCUAGUGCUGAUCAGUAUUGUAAAUAAAAAUGUUGACAAUAAAAAGCUCGCGCCAUAAUAGGCGAGAUGGAUAAGCAGUGUAUGCGCCGAAAACCGUA